CUUGGAUUCAGGAGCAGUAGUGUCAGCAGAUCUGAGGCUCAGACUAGCUUGGAAACAGAUGCCAUUAAAGCGGAACAGAAUCUACAGUGAACAAGCCGCCACCACAGCUCACAUGGCCGCCAUCUGCUCUAGACAACAGCGUGAAAUAUCAAAGCCUACAAAGGGAUGGACUGGCCUUGCCUAAGGGAGAAAGCCCCAAGAGGCAGUUUGUGAGUCUCCUCAUUGCUGAAACAAUCUUGAGAAAGUGAAAUGUGACUUAUUACCUGCUGGCCUUACUCGUGUGUGAUACAGUCUCGUCUUGGACAAAGUGGAAUGCUUUCUUAGCUUAGUUUCUAAGAAAUGAGUCAUUUCUGAGUGUAGUUCCAACAAACACCCAGACAAUGUGAUAAUAAAAAUAUUUGUCUUUA